UGGGCUUUGAACGCACCACACGGGUGCCUAAUUCUAAUUGGUUGUGGCGCUCGCUGGUUGCCUGUGUAUAUAAGGGGCCCUCCCUCACCGGGUUGACAUUGCAUUGUUCUCCUUCCGGUUCAGACCUCUGCGUUUGUUGGUGCUGCACGCCAGCUGCAAAUGAAUGCAUGCACUUAAACAAUGCGCUUAACGGCAUACUGAUUGUGGACCAAUCGUCCUUCGGACUGCCAGUACAAGCUUCCCACGCUUUCCUCCCUGUAAGAGGCACUACUUAAAGAGCUCAGUGGAACGGUCAGCUCGUGGUGUUGGUGGUGGACUUCUGGGUGGUGGUUCCUCUUCUGGUUUGGUGCAUGAUUUUCUUUUGCUUUGCCUAGUUCUGUUUGCUGUGUUUAUUUUUUUUCUUUUUUGUACCCUACCCUGAAUUUCACUCCUCACAGAGUUACGCUUGAAAAAAUUUUUAAAUGUGAGGUUUUAAUUUAGUCUUUUUGAAUUA